rnacentral:rRNA from 1 species
UUCGCCCUUAGAGUUUGAUCCUGGCUCAGGACGAACGCUGGCGGCGCGCCUAACACAUGCAAGUCGAACGAGCGAGAGAGAGCUUGCUUUCUCGAGCGAGUGGCGAACGGGUGAGUAACGCGUGAGGAACCUGCCUCAAAGAGGGGGACAACAGUUGGAAACGACUGCUAAUACCGCAUAAGCCCACGGGUCGGCAUCGACCAGAGGGAAAAGGAGCGAUCCGCUUUGAGAUGGCCUCGCGUCCGAUUAGCUAGUUGGUGAGGUAAUGGCCCACCAAGGCAACGAUCGGUAGCCGGACUGAGAGGUUGAACGGCCACAUUGGGACUGAGACACGGCCCAGACUCCUACGGGAGGCAGCAGUGGGGAAUAUUGCACAAUGGGGGAAACCCUGAUGCAGCGACGCCGCGUGGAGGAAGAAGGUCUUCGGAUUGUAAACUCCUGUUGUUGGGGAAGAUAAUGACGGUACCCGACAAGGAAGUGACGGCUAACUACGUGCCAGCAGCCGCGGUAAAACGUAGGUCACAAGCGUUGUCCGGAAUUACUGGGUGUAAAGGGAGCGCAGGCGGGAAGACAAGUUGGAAGUGAAAUCUAUGGGCUCAACCCGUAAACUGCUUUCAAAACUGUUUUUCUUGAGUAGUGCAGAGGUAGGCGGAAUUCCCGGGUGUAGCGGUGGAAUGCGUAGAAAUCGGGAGGAACACCAGUGGCGAAAGCGGCCUACUGGGCCCCAACUGACGCUGAAGGUCGAAAGUGGGGGGAGCAAACAGGAGUAGAUACCCUGGGUAGUCCACACCGUAAACGAUGAUUACUAGGUGUUGGAGGAUUGACCCCUUCAGUGCCGCAGUUAACACAAUAAGUAAUCCACCUGGGGAGUACGACCGCAAGGUUGAAACUCAAAGGAAUUGACGGGGGCCCGCACAAGCAGUGGAGUAUGUGGUUUAAUUCGACGCAACGCGAAGAACCUUACCAAGUCUUGACAUCCUGCGACAGACAUAGAAAUAUGUUUUUCCUUCGGGACGCAGAGACAGGUGGUGCAUGGUUGUCGUCAGCUCGUGUCGUGAGAUGUUGGGUUAAGUCCCGCAACGAGCGCAACCCUUAUGGUCAGUUACUACGCAAGAGGACUCUGGCCAGACUGCCGUUGACAAAACGGAGGAAGGUGGGGAUGACGUCAAAUCAUCAUGCCCUUUAUGACUUGGGCUACACACGUACUACAAUGGCGUUAAACAAAGAGAAGCAAGACCGCGAGGUGGAGCAAAACUCAGAAACAACGUCCCAGUUCGGACUGCAGGCUGCAACUCGCCUGCACGAAGUCGGAUUGCUAGUAAUCGUGGAUCAGCAUGCCACGGUGAAUACGUUCCCGGGCCUUGCACACACCGCCCGUCA